AUUGAACGCUGGCGGCAGGCCUAACACAUGCAAGUCGAGCGGAAACGACACUAACAAUCCUUCGGGUGCGUUAAUGGGCGUCGAGCGGCGGACGGGUGAGUAAUGCCUAGGAAAUUGCCUUGAUGUGGGGGAUAACCAUUGGAAACGAUGGCUAAUACCGCAUAAUGCCUACGGGCCAAAGAGGGGGACCUUCGGGCCUCUCGCGUCAAGAUAUGCCUAGGUGGGAUUAGCUAGUUGGUGAGGUAAUGGCUCACCAAGGCGACGAUCCCUAGCUGGUCUGAGAGGAUGAUCAGCCACACUGGAACUGAGACACGGUCCAGACUCCUACGGGAGGCAGCAGUGGGGAAUAUUGCACAAUGGGCGAAAGCCUGAUGCAGCCAUGCCGCGUGUAUGAAGAAGGCCUUCGGGUUGUAAAGUACUUUCAGUUGUGAGGAAGGGUGUGUAGUUAAUAGCUGCGCAUCUUGACGUUAGCAACAGAAGAAGCACCGGCUAACUCCGUGCCAGCAGCCGCGGUAAUACGGAGGGUGCGAGCGUUAAUCGGAAUUACUGGGCGUAAAGCGCAUGCAGGUGGUUCAUUAAGUCAGAUGUGAAAGCCCGGGGCUCAACCUCGGAACUGCAUUUGAAACUGGUGAACUAGAGUGCUGUAGA
rnacentral:rRNA from 1 species